rnacentral:rRNA from 1 species
GACGAACGCUGGCGGCGUGCUUAACACAUGCAAGUCGAACGGAAAGGCCCCUUUGGUGGUCCUCGAGUGGCGAACGGGUGAGUAACACGUGCGUAACCUGCCCUUGACUUCGGGAUAACUUCAGGAAACUGGGGCUAAUACCGGAUAGGAAUCCUUGCUUCAUGGUGGGGGUUGGAAAGCUUCGGCGGUUUUGGAUGGACUCGCUGCUUAUCAGCUUGUUGGUGGGGUAGUGGCUUACCAAGGCUUUGACGGGUAGCCGGCCUGAGAGGGCGACCGGCCACAUUGGGACUGAGAGACGGCCCAGACACCUACGGGAGGCAGAAGUGGGGAAUAUUGAACAAGGGGCGGAAGCCUGAUGAAGAAACGCCGCGUGCGGGAUGACGGCCUUAGGGUUGAAAACCGAUUUCAGCAGGGGCGAAGCUUGUGGUGACGGUACCUGCAGAAGAAGCACCGGCUAACUACGUG